UGCAAUGUGGGAGGUGAUGCCAUGGGGCUAUGAUGCAGUGGGAGGUGAUGUCAUGGGGAGGUGAUGGCAUGAGGAGCUGAUGUCAUGGGGAAGUGAUGUCAAGGGG